GAUGAACGCUAGCGAUAGGCCUAACACAUGCAAGUCGAGGGGCAUCACAUGAAGUAGCAAUACGGAUGGUGGCGACCGGCGCACGGGUGAGUAACACGUAUGCAACCUGCCUUCAACAAGGGGAUAACCCGUUGAAAGACGGACUAAUACCCUAUAACACAGGGGUCCCCAUGGGAAUAUUUGUUAAAGGACAACCGGUUGAAGAUGGGCAUGCGUUCCAUUAGCUAGUUGGCGGGGUAACGCCCACCAAGGCAACGAUGGAUAGGGGAACUGAGAGGUUUAUCCCCCACACUGGUACUGAGACACGGACCAGACUCCUACGGGAGGCAGCAGUGAGGAAUAUUGGUCAAUGGACGCAAGUCUGAACCAGCCACGUCGCGUGAAGGAAGACGGCCCUACGGGUUGUAAACUUCUUUUAUACGGGAAUAAAGUGCCCACGCGUGGGGUUUUGCAUGUACCGUAUGAAUAAGGAUCGGCUAA
rnacentral:rRNA from 1 species